UGCGGGGCGAGGCUGAACCGGAGGCGGCGGAACGCGGGGAAAGGGCCGCUCCACGCGCGGAUCCCCCCCCAAACACAGCCGAAAACCAGCAGACCUCUCGCUGCUGGGGCUGCACGGAGCAGGGAUUCUCAGCCCGGCGCAUCGCUGCUCCGUCAGCACGAAGAUCCGAGCUCUGCGCGUCGUUUCCUGCGACAAAAAGAGGCUCAGAAGGGAGAAGCCCCGAUUCCGAGUUUUACCAGGAGCUGCUGCAGGGAAACAAAGCAGCCGACGUGAGGAAUGCAACCGGCCCAUUCGCUGGGGCUGCUGCUGCCUGCGGCACACGGACGUGCCUCUGCUUGUCGUUUCGAGAGCUAUUGUUGCUCGGGGCCGGGGGCCUCUUUGUUUCCUUUUACCCUUUUCGCCAGGCUCGGUCGCAGCCCGCUAUUAAAUUAUUCAAAUCAU